rnacentral:pre_miRNA from 1 species
GGAGGCCAUGUUGGUUUUGAAAGUUCAUGGUUCGACACCAUGGAUCUCCAGGUAGGUCAAGGUUAGAAAUGUACCAACCUGGAGUACUCCAUGCUGUUGAGCUGUUCACUAGCAGCAAACAC